GAAUCGAGUGACGGGGAAUAAAAACGAAAAUGAAUUUGUAAAUUGUUAAGUAAGAAUCUUUUUUUUUGAAUUUGUUAUACUAAAAAACGUUGCGAGUUAUUAUUAGAAGAUUUGUGAUAAGUUUAUUGAGGAAUAUUGUACAUUCUCUUAGAAACGAAUCAAUGACGAAUCACAGAGAUAGAAACGAAGACGUUUAGAAAAUUUGCGGAAUAUGUAAAUUAGAUAUUAAAUCUACAAUGUUUUAUAUUUACCAUAUAUUUACUAUGUUCAAUUACUAGUAAUAAAAUUUAAAAACAUAAAAUAAUACGUAUUUUUUCUUAUUCCUAAUAUUUAGAAUUAAUAAAUUAUUUCAAGAAAUUAUCAUUCAAUCGCAGAUAUCGCCAAACGAAGAUGAACGAAGAACUAAUUAUAAUAGCCACGAAUAAAUAUUAUUUUUAUAGCAUUUUAAAUAAAACUAUUAUUUGAAGUAACUUUAUUCGAAAUUUUAGUUACUUCAAUCAAUGCUCCAACUAAAUUCAAUUCAUAUAAUCUAGUUUCGUGUUGAGAAAAUAUCCUCGAUCUAUCAACCUAGAAAUAUUCGAGAGAAUGCUCAUCGUUUCGAUCGUAAAGGAUCGAAAAGUCAUGUUGCUCCAAUUAUCUAUACAAGUGAACGCUUUAAUAAAUAAAUUUCAAAUUGUUGAAUUUCGAAGAAAAAAAUAAAGGAAAUAGGAAAAUUUAGGAUACAAAUCAGAUGAGAACCACUGACAAGCACCGGCCUUGUGAUUCAUUUUCCUGCGUUGUUUAUUUUGCAAAUAUUAAACUCACCGGCUGAAGUCACCGGUUACGUGUGACGAUGCGACUCGGUUUGACAUUUUGUUUUCCCAUCUCCUUUGCAUUUCGCUUUUCCGAUUGCCCGUAACACGCGAUCAUCGAAAGGUUUCGCAAGUUGCUGUAAUUCGAAACGACCGUACAGAAGUAUAAAAUAAAGAGCAAUGUAAUAAAAAGAGAGAGAGAGAGAAAAAAAGAAAAGAAUACGACGAAGCUCGUAAUAAAUAGCUUGGACAGUUCCAAGCAGCUGGUGUUGUUGUGUUAAUCGAAUGCAGCGCAAAAAUUUGAGAGGCGCGCAACGUGACGGAUUUCAUCCACGAUUAGAAUUCCCUGGAUUCUGUUGGCAGUGUCGCGACGUGAAAUCGCGCCCUGAAUGUCGUUUAGAUCGAUAAGUAUCGCGAAAAUGAUUUGGUUCUGGGAAGGGCCGGGUCUUUGCACACCAUCGACCUCAACUCGAAGAUGGAGAAGAGAAUGAAUUGAACUGCCAACAAUUUCUUCAUUCGAUAUUAUCUAGUUCGACUCUUGCUUCGACUCUUGUUUCGAAAUAGGGAAAAGAAAUCGAGGAAUGGACGGAGAGAGGAAACGAAGAAAUUGCGAGGAAGAAAUGAACUAUCGAGAAGGGACGAAAAAUAAUUGCAAGAAUUCCUUUCCUAUGAUUUUAUGAUUUUGACGACGAGAAUAACACGUUUGAUCGAUGUCUGCGGGAGGAAGGAAUAAACCUAAGAGGAAAUAUAAAUAUCGCGACCUGGGUAUUUAUGAGAAAUAUCAGGGUCCUUGGGCCAUCGAAUGAAUCACGCUUCCCGGUAUUUUCGAGAAACGCGUAUGAAUUAAACAUCCGAGCAGUGUAUGUGUGUAUGUACAAGUGGUGAUCGUCUUUUCGUCAGGAGACAAUGUGUUUUCCAAUGGAUCUCAUUACAUACGUAUUCAUCGCAUAUGAAAUGGAUAGUUUCUUAAAGGAAAAUUUUCACACUACUCUAAUGAACGAUUCUGCUAAUUUUCCCUCCAAAGUUGACUUGCUAUCGCUCCUCGAUGUUCUGUACUCAACACCUUUACUCCAUACAAAACAUUUACUCUAUAAUUUUAAAAAUCUUCUAAUCGAUAUUGCGAAGACAAGAGUUUUCUUCAAAAUUUCUCAGAAUCCGUUAUUUAUGUUAAAAGUGUUGGAUGUUCAGUUGAUGAACGACGUUACAACUUCGUCGUAUCGGUUUCAAUAAUAAGUACUUGAGCAGCAAUCAGCCCAGGCAGCUUUCAUCGCAAUUCCAAUUGUGAAUUGAACACGAAGGCCUGCCGUUUAAUAUGACCCUAAUCGACUCCGUCCUUCGAAAGAUAAGGGGGCCCUUUUGCCGUCGACCAGCCUCGACAGCCUCUCGAAGAGCGGCAAGAUUAUCGUCGAGGUCUUAACUUCGUUGGUAAGGUUCCAUAACCGUCAAUGGAAUAAUAUCGGUCGGAUAUCAAGGCCUGUCAGAAAAGCAGAGGAGAACUGCCGAAAGAAUGAGCUAAAACGACACGGAGGAUGGAAGAAUACCAAGAUCUAAGAUCAUUAACCGACGAUCUUCGUUAAGAUAUUUCAUCUAUCAAUCAUGUGCUAGUUUGUAGUAAUUGGGGAUUUUCUUUUGACGAUAAUGAUAUUUGUUUUCAUGUGGAAGAUCGAAUAACGAUGAAAGGGACGAAGAGAAAAGUGAUACGUGUUGAUUAAUUCUAGACAAUGGAAAAAAAGAAAGAAAGAACAGGUGAAAAAAGAGAAUUUGUAUUAACAUUGAAAGCAAUUGAUUAAAAAUAUUUCAUAGAUAAUUUUAAUUGAUUUCGAGAAUAUCGUGUAAAUAUUUUGCAACGAUUCACCACGUGUGAAACAAGAUGGCCAUUCCCUUAAUAAAAUCGAAAGUGGCACAGGAAACGUAAAAUACGAUGAAGAAUAAGGAAAUCGUAAAUCGUUCUAUUUAGACGAAAUAGCCAAUUGAUCCAGCCGAUUGUCUCGAACUCAGACAACUCGAAAAAACGACCACGAUACAUGAAAAUUCGUUAAAUAUUAAUAUUGUCCACGAAAGUGUUUGUGUUCUCAAUUAACAAAUUGUUGUGACGUGACGUUAUAUCGCGAAGAAUAAUACAAUAAUUCUGCUUUCAAUCAAUAAUACGUAUCUAUCUUCAUUCACACAGCAUCAAGAAUUGAUGACUGAAUGACAAUCUACAAAAAGAAAAACUUUUUUUCUCUCCAAACUUUCUCAAACCACUCUCAAACAAACUCCACCGAGAUGCAAUCUUCCUCUCUAAAUUUCCCCGAAUCAAACCAACUCCACGAUAAAUCUAGAAAAAAAGAAAAAUCACUCUCUCCCCUCUUCAAACCUUUCCAAACCAAUCGUCAACCACGUCGAACUCAACGACAAGUCUCAACGAUCGACAAUCUACAAAAAAAAAAAAAAGAACCCAUCUCGCCUCCCCUCCAAAUCUCCUCGAACCACCAUCAACUUCCAACCAAAAAACCAAACGACGAGAAAAAAAAAAAAAAAAAAGAAAACCACAUUUUCUCGAACAACCUCUCGAAACCAAAUUUCGAAAUUCCAUUCCAACGCGGCCGGCCGGCCGGCCGGCAACAAAAAGCCUGCCAAACCCCUCCACUCCCCUCCCCUCUCCUCUUCUCCCCCAAAAGAAACGCAUCCCACGCCGGGGGAAAAAAAUCAAAAUGCAACCGUGGCAACGAUCGCGUAUUAAGCUACGUCAUUGAAUCCGCGAUGACCCUGAAUGCAAACGAGGAAGGCAAGUUCGCGGUCGGCUCGGAUUUCGUGAUCGCGCAACAGAACGACGCCGAUUACGACGACGGCACGGGAGCGCCUCUCUCGUCAAACGUGAUGAAUCGAUCCGAGAAGAGAGCCGCGGGCUUUCCUUCUCCUCGCGAAACACGGAAUGGAAGAGAGUUGAAGGGAGAAGGAAAGAGGAAAGGAUAAGCGUAAGGGGCGCGUGGAAACGCGAGAGAGGAGAGAGAGAGAGAGAGAGAGAUUGGGGGCGCAUACGUACAUGCCAAGUCACGCAUUGUAAUUCAUCGGCGAUCGGUGGACGUCAGCUGACGGGCGAAGUAUGAAUGAGCAUAUCGAGGCUCCAUCCUCGCCACGGCCGCUGCGUGUACCUCGUCGAACGCGUGACGAGCAUCGCCGUUUCUUUUCCAUUUUUUCCCUCGAGUUUUCCUUUUUCUCCCUUCCUCUCCCUUCUCGUCCUUUUUCUUUCGAACCGCUGGAUCGAUGGUUUUCGUACGUAAUCUCGGAGAAGAUGAUGCGUUUGAACGCGUUUGAGUCUGUUGGAGAUUGGGGGGAUUGAGGAGGAGAGAUGAGAUAUUAUCGUUUCGAAUUAUGAUGAAGGUGUUAAUUUUUCUUUGUUCAGUUUUAGAAAUGGAAUUGGUAGGAGAGGAUUGCGUAUUUUGAAAAUUGAUUAUUUUGAAUUUUGUUUUUCCGAUGAUUUUUCUAUUAUUAAUUUAAAAAAAUUAACCCUGUUUUCUUCCACUCCAGGUAAAAGGUAAUUGGUCAAUUGUGCAAUGGGAAUGCUUGUGCACGAUUUAUAAUUUUGAAGAACUGUAGAAAUCUAAGAGGAAAGUUAAUUUAUUUUAGUUAACUAUAAGUAAUUAUAGAUUUUAAUCGAAAAUUAUUGUUGUUCUAUGUGCGAGAAAGUUAAGUGCGUAUUAUUACUGCGUUUAACAACAUACACAUUUACUUAGAUACGUUUCUUAUAUAAGCUAAUGCAACAAUAAUUUAAUUCGCGAUAUAUAUAUUGGCUAUGUAAACGAAUUAUUUUUUAUUUUAUCAAUUUGUUUAUUCGUGGAACAAUUCUUUCACAUCUCGAGUAUAUAAUUUUAAAAAUUAUCCCCGUCCAUGAUAAUUAUUCUAAAAUUUGUUUACGUAUUAUUUAUAAGGCAUGAUUCUCGAACAAUUGUUCCUUGAACAAUUUCGAAUCCGAAGAUUCUAAUCUGUCAAUUGAGAAGUCAAGGAUGCACGGUCGAGCAGAGAAACAACUUACGUAGUUAGAAGACUCGAGACGUACAAUGUGGAAGCGGUAAUAGACAUCGAAAACGAUGCUCCGCGAAUGGCUUUUAGACACGUUUCGGAAAUUUCAACGAGUAAAACACGAAUAACAACGAGAAGAGAUGCGAUAAAGGAGAGAAUGGGAAAGUAGCUGUUGCGAGGAAAGGGCAAUAUUGUGUUAAGAAUGAGUGAAAGGAGUAGGAAUUCUAAGAAGCUAACGUACAGCAUAUUGUUCCUUUCAUUCACCGAUUCAUUCGUCUAAUGUCAGAUUCAAAUUUCAUCGGUGUGUGCGGAUCGCAGUUCUCUUUAUUUUCCACUUAACCGAGUCUUUAUCUAUCCCAUGCCUAAUAUCCAUGUAUUAACGACGCAUCUAUGAUGCUUCUUAGCAAAAUAAAUUAUGCUUAUUGCGGAUUAUUUUGUAAUUAUUCGCGUGACUAACGAUUCGAUAAGGCAAUAGCUCGUGGACGAAGGAAAACAAGUUUGCAAAACAAACGCCACGUACUAACUCCAUUUUCAACCACUCGAAUGAAGAACAUAUUACGAUCAUCGUCAACUUAAGAAGAAUAAUCGUUAUGCACGAUUGUCCAUUUCAAUCUUUCUUAUUAGAUAUUCCAAAUCUCAAAAAUUUUAAACAACAUUCAUUCACAGUAUAAGGAGAAAUGAAAUGAUUCGGAGAAACUACACCCUCUCUUGUCAAAACUCAACGUUAUCCAUCUUUCUAUUCCAAAAUUUUUUCUCGAUUUCAACCGAAAAUGAAAUCACCCAAAGAAUCAAAAUUAAAUAUUACGUUUCUAAGACAGCCUAUAAAACAUACGACAUUUCCACGAUUUCAUCAUACAUCUUCUCUUACCAAAACUUUAAAUCUUUCUAUUUCAAAAUGAAAUUAUUCAAAGGAUCUACUUUCUCUAUUAAAAAUCCACUAUUCCAUGUUUCCAAAAAGACAACCUAUAGAACAUACAACGUUUCCACGAUUCCACCAUACAUUUUCUCUUACCAAAACUCAACAUUACUCAAAAUAAAAAUUCUAAAUCUUUCUAUUCCAAAAUGAAAUCAUUCAAAGGAUCUAUUCUCUUUAAGAAAAUUCCAUGUUCUCAAAAUUAAAUAUUACGUUUCUGAGAUAGCCUAUGGAAUACCAUAUGACAUUUUAACAAUUCUACAAAACUCAACAUUAUUCAAAAUAAAAAUUUUAAAUCUUUCUAUUUCAAAAUGAAAUCAUUCAGAGGAUUUACUUUCUCUAUUAAAAAUCCACUAUUUAAUAUUCCCAAAAUUAAAUAUUACAUUUCUGAGACAAUCUAUGGAAUAUCAUAUGACAUUUUAACAAUUCUACAAAACUCAACAUUAUUCAAAAUAAAAAUUUUAAAUCUUUCUAUUUCAAAAUGAAAUCAUUCAGAGGAUUUACUUUCUCUAUUAAAAAUCCACUAUUUAAUAUUCCCAAAAUUAAAUAUUACAUUUUUAAGAUAACCUACAGAAUACCAUACGACAUUUCAACGAUUCCAUACGAUAUAUAUAUAUAUACCAUACAUUCUCUUUUACCAAAACUCAACAUUACUCAAAAUAAAAAUUCUAAAUCUUUCUAUUCCAAAAUGAAAUCAUCCAGAAGAUAUUAAAAAUCCACUAUUCCACUAUUUCCCAAAAUUAAAUAUUACGUUUCCAAGACACCUAUAGGACACGAUACGGCGUUUCCACGAUUCCACGUAAGAAAGUUUAGAAGCGAGCGCUACGUAAUUGAUCGCAACGAGUCGGCCAUGCAAAUCGAUUCUCCGCGACCGGUUCUCUAAGGUCGUGCACUAUGUAACGAGACCGCUCCGUGUACCCUGGUACCACUGGACUUUGCAUUUAAUACGUACGCAUAAUAGACGGCUUCCCUUUGCCGCCGUCUCCAAACGCCCUCCUCCUCCUCCUCCUCCGUUAUACUCCACACUCAAUGAACCUGAUCGGACACAAUUCACGCAGACGUGUCUUCGUGAAGAAUCAUCUUGCAACGCGGGGACCCCCCUCUCCCCCUCCCCCCUCGUGAAAUCCCUUCUGCGAGGCCAGUCAGCUGGCAUGGAUGCGCAUCGCGGAAUCACGGAGUGAACAACACGAGGCGCGAUGCACCUGUGCCCGCGUGCAAAUGCAUUCGUGGUGAGGGACCGGUUCGGAAAGGUCGAACAUUACACCGAGGUCGUUUUCUUCUCCGCGAUCGAGGCUCGCCUCUCUCGACUAUCCAGUGCAUAGACAUGAAACGUACAAUUGUUGGAAUGACGAGUAUCGUUGCACUUUCUCAGAUUCGAUAACGCAAUAAUUCGUAUGCUGAACAAGUGAGAGAUUUGGAGAUUGUCGAUCGAGUAAAUUUUAGGUAAAUCGAUAUAGCAAGUUGAAGAAUAACAGACUCUUAUUACAUCUCUGUAAAUUUUACUGUAGAAAACCUUAUAUCCAUUGCAUAGACGUGAGAUAUAAUUGUUGGAAUGAUGAAUAUCGUUGCAUCACGACUCUCUGAAAAGUAAGAGAUUUGGAGAUUGAAAAUGGACGAUUAUCGAUCGAAUAAAUUUUAGAAAACGUUAUAUUCACUGUAUAGACGUGUAAGGUAUAAUUGUUGGAAUGAUGAAUAUAGUUGCACUAUGAUUCUCUGAAGAGAAAGAGGUUUGGAAGUAGUCGAUUUUUAAUCGAAUAAAUUUUAGGUAAAUAUAGUAAGUUGAAGAGUAAUGGACUCUUAUUGCAUUUUUGUAAAUUUGUAGAAAACCUUACAUCCAGUGCAUAGACGUUUAAGAUAUUUAUAAUUGUUGGAAUGAUGAGUAUGGUUGCACUAUGUAUGGAUUCUCUGAAGAGUAAGAGAUUUGAAGGUUGAAAGGAAUCAAUUGUUGAUUGAAUAAAUUUUAGGUAGAUAUAGCAAGUUGAAGAGUGUAAUGGAUUCUUAUAUAAUAUUGUAAAUUUGUACAUCCAAUGCAAUAAUUGUUGGAAUGAUGAGUUUUUAUAAGAAUAAGAGGUUUGAAGAUUGGAAAUGGACGAUUGUCGAUCGAAUAAAUUUUAGGUAAAUUGAUAUAGCAAGUUGGAUAAGUUGAAGAGUGUAAUGGAUAUUAUAGAAUCUUAUAGAAUAUUAUUGCGUCUCCAUAUUAAUUUAUAAAGGUGAAUUUUGAAAUAAUGUAUAAUAUAUAUUAAUGUAUAAAUACGUAUGUAUUAAAUUCACUUAUCUGAAAUAAAAAUAAUGAGGAUAAUGGAUAGACUCUCAUUAUAUGAAGUUGAUCGAUUGUUGCAUCGCAUCUCCGAGAUUUGACGACACUAAUGACGAUGUGUACAUAUUAAAUAAAUGAACUGAUGUAACGCAUUUACGCCGAAGGAAUAAAAGCUGCAUGCGUGAAAUCCACUUAUUGGGACGAAAUUUCUACCGAUAUUCGAUCAACGUGAACUUUAGCUCGAUUAACGUGAUAAUUGAGCUGAACAAAAUAAUCAUUUUAAUGAUCAAAAUCGAUAUAAAUAUUGCAGAAAUCGUGUUCCAUUGACUCAAAUUGAUUAUCAAAGGAAAAGAAUUGAAUAAUUGGAAUUUAACCGCGAUUUAAUUUUCUUUCGCACUCUCAACUUCACGACUCGUAUAUUCCCCGACGACCGAGAGGAAUACAACGAGGAGGCCAGAGGGCAAGAAAGUUUCGCGGAGUCUCUCAGUUUCAACGUUUAGUCGCGAUUAGAAGCGCGUUGAAAGGUAUCAUUACGUAUGCUGGAAGUUUGAGAUUGGUAAUUUCGCGAGAACUUACCGGUCCGACGAUUGAAGAGGAAGAGAAGUUUCUUAGGACUUUGCAGGCGAAGGUUUUCAAGGAGAUUGGUUGGGAUUAGUCGGUACGUUGAAUCAUUGAUGGGUUUCGAAUGACGUGCGCAAUAUUUGAAAAUUGUUCGUGCACGGGAGAAGGGAGAUACCAGAUUUAUAAUGGCGUUUAAUGUUUAAAAUUUUGAAAAAAAAAAAAAAAA
rnacentral:lncRNA from 1 species